AGAACGAACGGUGGCGGCGUGGAUAAGACAUGCAAGUCGAACGGGAUCUUGCUUGUAGCAAUACAAGUAAGGUUCAGUGGCGUAAGGGUGCGUAACACGUGGGCAAUCUGCCCUGGAGCGCGGGAUAGCUCGGCGAAAGCCGAAUUAAUACCGCAUGUGGCUAUCGAGGGAUUCCUCGAGACGCUAAAGACGGCGCAAGCUGUCGCUCUUGGAUGAGCCCGCGGCCUAUCAGCUAGUUGGCGAGGUAAAAGCUCACCAAGGCGAUGACGGGUAGCUGGUCUGAGAGGACGACCAGCCACACUGGAACUGAGACACGUCCAGACACCUACGGGUGCAGCAGUCGA
rnacentral:rRNA from 1 species